GGUGUACCAGUUGUUCUGCCAAGGGCAUCGCUGGGUAGCUAUGUGCGGACGGGAUAAGUGCUGAAAGCAUCUAAGCAUGAAGCCCCCUCAAGAUGAGAUUUCCCAUUCCGCAAGGAAGUAAGAUCCCUGAAAGAUGAUCAGGUUGAUAGGUCUGAGGUGGAAGUGUGGCGACACAUGGAGCUGACAGAUACUAAUCGAUCGAGGACUUAACCAUAUUU
rnacentral:rRNA from 1 species